rnacentral:rRNA from 1 species
GGCCGGGCCGGGUGGUCCGCCGCUUCGGUGGCGCGUACUGCUCGCAGGCCGGGCCCUGCCUCUUGGGGAACCCGGGCCGGGAUGGCUUUCGGGCUGUCCUGUCCGGGCGAGCCAAGACGUUUACCUUGAAAAAAUUAGAGUGUUCAAAGCGGGCGCACGCCUGCAUAGAUUAGCAUGGAAUAAUGGAAUAGGACCUGUGGUCUUGUUUUGUUGGUUUUGUUGACCGCGGUA